rnacentral:rRNA from 1 species
AACGCGAAGAACCUUACCUGGGCUCGAAGCGCAGUGGACAUGGGUAGAAAUAUCCCUUUCUCGCAAGAGACUGCUGCGGAGGUGCUGCAUGGCUGUCGUCAGCUCGUGUCGUGAGAUGUUGGGUUAAGUCCCGCAACGAGCGCAACCCUUAUCGUUAGUUGCCAGCGAGUCAAGUCGGGCACUCUAGCGAAACCGCCUCGGAUAACGGGGAGGAAGGUGGGGAUGACGUCAAGUCCUCAUGGCCUUUAUGUCCAGGGCUACACACGUGCUACAAUGGCCGGUACAAACCGUCGCAAACUCGCGAGAGGGAGCUAAUCGGAAAAAGCCGGCCUCAGUUCGGAUUGGAGUCUGCAACUCGACUCCAUGAAGCUGGAAUCGCUAGUAAUCGCGGAUCAGCACGCCGCGGUGAAUACGUUCCCGGGCCUUGUA